rnacentral:rRNA from 1 species
GACGAACGCUGGCGGCGUGCCUAAUACAUGCAAGUUGAGCGCUGAAGGUUGGUACUUGUACCAACUGGAUGAGCAGCGAACGGGUGAGUAACGCGUGGGGAAUCUGCCUUUGAGCGGGGGACAACAUUUGGAAACGAAUGCUAAUACCGCAUAAAAACUUUAAACACAAGUUUUAAGUUUGAAAGAUGCAAUUGCAUCACUCAAAGAUGAUCCCGCGUUGUAUUAGCUAGUUGGUGAGGUAAAGGCUCACCAAGGCGAUGAUACAUAGCCGACCUGAGAGGGUGAUCGGCCACAUUGGGACUGAGACACGGCCCAAACUCCUACGGGAGGCAGCAGUAGGGAAUCUUGGGCAAGGGGCGAAAGUCUGACCGAGCAACGCCGCGGGAGUGAAGAAGGUUUUCGGAUCGUAAAACUCUGUUGGUAGAGAAGAACGUUGGUGAGAGUGGAAAGCUCAUCAAGUGACGGUAACUACCCAGAAAGGGACGGCUAACUACGUG